ACAGAAUUAGUGCCCACAGUUGUCUGAAUGGCCUGGUAAUGCAUUAGCAUACAGGAGUCCAUCUGAGAGGGACAGAGUGGUCUAGUGGUAAGAGCAGGGGUCUAGGUGUCCUGGGUUCCAUUCUUAACUCUGGGAAUUGACUUGGAUCUAAUGGUUAGAGCAAGGUGCUGUGGGUCAGGAG